rnacentral:rRNA from 1 species
GGGGGGGGGGGGGGGGGGGGCGGGGGGGGGGAGGGCGCGCGGGGCGGGCGGGGCUGGUGGCGCGCGGGGGCGGGGCGCGGGGGAGCCUGCCCGUGGGUGCGGAAUAACUCCCCGAAAGGGGUGCGAAGACCGGAUAGUGUCUUCGGACCAAAGAUUCAUCGCCUGUGGAUGGGCCCGCGUUGGAUUAGCUAGUUGGUAGGGUAAAAGCCUACCAAGGCGACGAUCCAUAGCUGGUCUGAGAGGAUGAUCAGCCACACUGGGACUGAGACACGGCCCAGACUCCUACGGGAGGCAGCAGUGGGGAAUAUUGGACAAUGGGCGAAAGCCUGAUCCAGCAAUGCCGCGUGAGUGAUGAAGGCCUUAGGGUUGUAAAGCUCUUUUACCCGGGAUGAUAAUGACAGUACCGGGAGAAUAAGCUCCGGCUAACUCCGUG